AAAAACACUUUAUUUCUAAUUGAGGAGAUUAAAUCAUUUCUGAAAUGUAUUCAUACUAUAGCUGAGUUAAUUAUUUGAACCACAGUCUAAAGAAAUUAAGAGUGCCAAACAUGCAGGAGGUUUUUGUACGAGCAGCAAUAGGGAUUUUAUCACUGUGGUACACUUUUGGUAGCGGCACCAGACUCGAUGUUGGAAGUAACAGUUCCCCCACCCUCACCGUCCUGCCCCCCUCUAGUGAGGAGCUGUCCAGUACAACAACAGCCACACUGACGUGUCUGGCCAACAAGGGCUUCCCCUCAGACUGGACCAUGAGCUGGAAAGUGGACGGGACCAGCAAGAAACAGGAGGCUAAUCCCGGGAUCCUGGAGAAGGAUGGCCUGUACAGCUGGAGCAGCACCCUGACUCUCACUGGCCAGGAGUGGACCAAGGCAGGAGAGGUGACCUGUGAAGCCCAGCAGAAAUCCCAGACUCCAGUCACCAAGACCCUGAGGAGGGCUGACUGUUCUGGGUAGAACCCCUCAGUCACACACCCCUGUGGAGAGAGGCUGCUGGUUCCUCUGCUUUGACUCUGUUCUGAGAUCAGAUGUUCUCUGUCUUAUUGAUCACUGACAUGUAGACUAACAGGGGGCUUUGCUUGAGUUCAUGUGCCAAUCCUCUCUGUAGACUGAGAUUGAAUCAGUGUUAGAUGUGAUGUGUUCUGUUUUAUUACUAUUAGAUACUGUAGGAAUGUUUGCUUUGAUGCUUUGAUGAAUAGAUGAAAAUAAAGACUUCUCUUAGAAACAAA